rnacentral:rRNA from 1 species
GACGAACGCUGGCGGCGUGCCUAAUACAUGCAAGUCGAGCGGAACUGGGGGAGCUUGCUCCUUCCAGUUUAGCGGCGGACGGGUGAGUAACACGUGGGCAACCUGCCCUGCAGAUCGGGAUAACUCCGGGAAACCGGUGCUAAUACCGAAUAGUUUGGCGCCUCUCCUGAGGCGCUACGGAAAGACGGUUUCGGCUGUCACUGCAGGAUGGGCCCGCGGCGCAUUAGCUAGUUGGUGGGGUAACGGCCCACCAAGGCGACGAUGCGGAGCCGCCCUGACAUGGUGACCGGGCACACUGGGACUGAGACACGGCCCAGACUCCUACGGGAGGCAGCAGUAGGGAAUCUUCCGCAAUGGACGCAAGUCUGACGGAGCAACGCCGCGUGAGUGACGAAGGUUUUCGGAUCGUAAAACUCUGUUGUGAGGGAAGAACACGUACCAACUAACUAUUGGUACCUUGACGGUACCUCACCAGAAAGCCACGGCUAACUACGUGCCAGCCGCCGCGGUAA